GCGGAUCAGCCCGCGCCCCGUAAAACGGGACGGCCCGCCAGAGGACCCAAACUCUAAUGUUUCUUAUUGUAACUUCUGAGUAAAACAAACAAAUAAAUCAAAACUUUCAACAACGGAUCUCUUGGUUCUGGCAUCGAUGAAGAACGCAGCAAAAUGCGAUAAGUAAUGUGAAUUGCAGAAUUCAGUGAAUCAUCGAAUCUUUGAACGCACAUUGCGCCCGCUGGUAUUCCGGCGGGCAUGCCUGUUCGAGCGUCAUUUCAACCCUCAAGCCCCCGGGUUUGGUGUUGGGGAUCGGCUCUGCCCUUCUGGGCGGUGCCGCCCCCGAAAUACAUUGGCGGUCUCGCUGCAGCCUCCAUUGCGUAGUAGCUAACACCUCGCAACUGGAACGCGGCGCGGCCAUGCCGUAAAACCCCAACUUCUGAAUGUUGACCUCGGAUCAGGUAGGAAUACCCGCUGAACUUAAGCAUAU
rnacentral:rRNA from 1 species